UUAGAUUAUGUUUUGGAUUCAGACACAGACUCUACAGCAUAAAGGCGGCGCCGGAGCGCCGAAGCACGUUUCGCUUCCACAGGUUUGAAGGGUUGAAGGCCAAAAGGCCAUUCAGUAAUGAUCCCUCCGCAGGUUCACCUACGGAGA
rnacentral:misc_RNA from 1 species